GAAUCACAAGAGCGUUGCCGGCCUUUAAGGAAGGUGUAAGCACUUAUUUUGAAGGUACCCAUGUCGUAUCGUCCUGGAAACACCGCACAAGGAAGCUCAUUCCACAGCUUUGUUGUACGAGGAAGAAAGCUCCUUGAAAACCGCACUGUGGAGGACCGCCACACAUCCAUAUAAUGAUAUCCUAACUUGUGGCGUGUCUUGCGAAGGUGGAAUUCGGCGGCAUCAGGUUAAACAGCUCUUCGAAACACUCCCCGUGAUAAAUGCGGUAGAAGACAUACAAUGAAGCGACGUCUCUAAGCAACGCCAAGUGAUCCAGCCGUUCAAAGAGCACUGGGUCCCCGACAAUUCGUCGCUGCUCUGCGUUGCACGCGGUCAAAUGGAUCGAGCUGAUACUAGGGUGCGCCAGACCUGAGAUGACACCAAUACUCCAUGUGUGGCCGGACCUGCGCUUUGUAGAGCGCUAGAAUGUGGGCCGGCUUGAAGUAUUGCCGUGCUCUAUUAAUGAUGCCCAGCUUCUUCGAAGCCAAUUUGGCUUUGCCCUGGAGGGAGAAUUUCGUGGCCAUCUCCAGAUUGGCAAUCACUUGAGAUUUCGAGACCCAGUAUUCCGAUACUAGGCGAGGCUUUAAGGGAAGUGUUGUCGGAGAGCGGUGAUACGACAAAUGCGGUUAUUUUAGUGGUAAACGCGCAAUCUUGAGUUUUCUGGGGGUUAAAUUGGACAAGGUUCAUUUUACCCCAUUCCGCGACCUUCUCGAGAGAGGCCUCGAUAGAAGACACAAGUUUCUCCCGGCAGUGGUCGACGAUUUCCCGAGAGAGACCUGCAUGGCCCGUGUAUACGGCAUCACCAGUGCUGUCGUCCGCAUAACAAUGUAUGUUGGAGGUGUCCAACAUAUCAUUGAUAUGCAGAAGAAACAGCAUGGGAGAUAGCACACAGCCUUGGGGCUCUCCAGCGUUCACGGGCUUGGGAUUCGAGCAAUAACCGUCGACAACGACCUGUAUGCUGCGCCCAGUGAGGAAGCUGGAGUUCCACUUGCAUAAGUUCUCCGGAAGCCCAAAUGAUGGAAGUUUUGAGAGGAGCUUCUUGUGCCAUACCUUCGCUAUAUCCAGGCCUUCCCCGUUGCUUUCAAUAGCCGCAGCCCAUCUAUGUGUAAGGUAUACCAGAAGAUCGCCAGUCGACCGACCAUGGCGAAAGCCGUACUGCCGGACGUUAAUCAACUGGCGACCCUCAAGGUAUACCAAGAGCUGGCGGUUAAUUAUGCUCUCCAUGAUUUUGGAGAGCAGGGAGGUAAUAGCAAUAGGCCUGUAGUUUGCCGGAUCCGAACUGUCUCCAUUUUUUGGAUUGGAUAGACAAGGGCUGUCUUCCAUGAGUCAGGGACUACGCAUUUUGAAUAAGAGUGCCGGAAUAAACGCGUUAGCACCGGCGUCAAGUCAGGGACACACGUUCUAAGCACGAUGGAGAAUUGCCAUCCGGCCCGCUCGACUUCCUGACGUCCAACGAAAACAGAGCUCGCCAAACAGUUUUAUGUUUGAACUGUACUUCAGGCAUGGAGCUCUGAUACCGCGGGAUGGUCGGCGGUGUUUUUCCGUUGUCGUCAAGAGUCAAGUUGGAGGCAAAAAGAGUGCACAGGAGAUCGGCUUUCUCUUUUGCCGUAUGGGCCAGGGUGUCAUUCCUCAUGUGCAACGGCGGUGUGGACGGCUGGUUGAAGUUACCAAGAGCAACUUUUGACAACGACCAGUACUUGCGUGUUCCGGUCGGGUAACUGGAAAGCUGCUCGCCGAUUUUGACGACGUGCUUCGAUAUCGUACGGGCGAUUUGCCGCUUAAAAAAUCUGGAGGCACGGUUAUAUUUCGUCUUCAGAACUUUGCAGUUCGGAUCCUUUGAGCCCAGCGCCGCAACCCAAGUUCGAUACGCCUGUUUUUUGCAGUCAGAUGCUGCUUUAACCGGCGACGCAUCGAACCAGGGCUGUGUUCUGCCACCGAUCAGUACUACAGAGCUUGGUAUAAAAAUAUCCAUGCCCUGCAGUAUCACAUCGGCUACUGCAACGGCGCAGGCACUAGGAUCAUCCUAAGUGAAACAAACCCUGCCCCAAGGGUAGGAUGCAAAAAAGGAACGCAUGCUAUCUCAAUCUGCUGACUUGUAGUGCCGAACGCGGCGGGUCGCUGGAGGUCUGCGAUGUUGGCACUACACUCCUGACCAGGCAAUGGUCGGACGUUCCGAGAGGGAGAGACCUGGUUAACUAUCGGGAUGUGUAGUCAGCAGAAUAUCUAAUAAGGACGGCAUGUGGCUAUCCAUAUCCGGGAGCCGCUUAUGGCCUCCGGUCCUCGACACUAACCUAUGCGAAACGUAGCGGCACUAUGCCGCUACUUCGUAAUUAACCCGGACGAGUCUGGCCCGAUUGUGCUGACGUCAUAAGACGGCAGCGUGACUCUCCCACUUCUAAAAAGCCCUUAGUCGCCUCUUACGACACCCAUGGGCCUGGGCCCCCCCUAUUCUUUUUACGCCCCGGGGAAAGUACAGGGAAACCUACUCAAUUAUACUUUUUAAUAUAAUAAAAUCGUAAGAGUACCUUUGUCUGUAUAUUAAAUACUAAAAUAAACAAUUAAUACUAGAUUAUUUAUUGUUUUCCUUUCGUUAUCGAGACGAAAAAACCUUUAUUGAAUUUUUAAAGUAUUAUAGAAUAAACUGAUCUAUACAAAGGGAUGGAUGCAUUUUUUUUUAUUAAUCCAAAUUUUAAAAGUUAUCAGCCGAGAUAGAAAAAGCGGUUCAUUUAAUGGGUAUAAAUCGUAAACGGUAAAAAACUUACAGGAAUUUAAAGAUGCAAAAUGUAUUGUCUACAAAAUGAUCUAAAUAACUUUUGCCGUAAAGUGCAGUUUUGAAAUAUCGGCCAAAAACUUUUUUAAGUGCUCCACCUGGAUCUGACUUUCAGUGCAUUUGUGUUUUUAUGCUCAGUAAGUGAACCUAAGCCUUAAAAAAUGGAUCAGAAAUUUACUGAGUUUAAAUUAGUUUUUUAAUAAUCUACCUACUUGAUUUAAAACGCUUUUGUUGAGAUUUUCUUGCUGACCGUACUAACUAGAACUGUCAUCCGAGCCAGGUGCCGAGUAGAACCGUUGAGUCACACCACGGUGAACAAGAUUCGAUUACUGUCCUCGAAAUGUACAUUUAUUCGACGCUAAGGUCCUUCACCUCUGGUGAAUACAAGAGUAUGGGCCGUGGUCAUUACUAACAUUAGGUGCCGCGUAUUUAUGCUCGUCUGUUUGUUAUUUCGACAAGGCCCUUAGAUUAUGUUAGAUUUCAAUUUGUAGAGAAGCCAUUGAUAUUUAAAUGAAAUAAACGAACUAUGUCAAUUUAAACAUUUAAUUCAUGAAUUAUGCUUUACAAAUAUGUUGCAUAUUAUAUAACCUUAUAAAACAUCACUACAUCAUACAUGUGCUAAACUUAAAAUUAACCUAGUUUUUUCCUCAACUUUUGUAAGCACUCCUUUAAGAUUAAUACAACAUUCUCUCCUGUACAUAAAAAGCUUGUUGGUAACAUGUUGUGCACGCAUAUUAUAAUGUAGCCAGUAAUAAAAAAAUGUACAUCCCCGUCAAAUG